rnacentral:lncRNA from 1 species
UCAUCCUAAUGCCCAGAUCUAAUAGAGAUCAGAUCUAAGAAGAGAAAAGAGAGAGAAGAAAAGAAGAAAAAGGGUUCUUCUUUCCUUCAUGGUGAUCUACUUCAGAUCCCGUCGGAUCUGUGCGAAAGAGUUCGCGCAGCGAUCUCCUUCUUCAAGAUCUAGAAGAAGAGAUCUAGAUCCAAGGCUAAAGAGCGAGAUCUGCCAGGUGCUAGCAUAUCAAUGAUCUUGGUGCUCCGAUCAGGCAUCUCUAUGUGGAUACCAGCAGAGGUCGGGCGCAUGCAUGGUUACGAUCAAAACUCUGGACAUCCGC